UGUUAAUAAUUUAAGGUCUGGCCUGCCCAAUGAUAAUAAUUUAAUGGCCGCAGUAUUUUGACUGUGCAAAGGUAGCAUAAUCAUUAGUCUCUUAAUUAGGGACUGGAAUGAAUGGUCGGAUGAGGAAAUGACUGUCUCGACCUGAUUUAAGUAGAAUUUUAUUUUUAAGUUAAAAAGCUUAAAUUUUAUUUAAAGACGAGAAGACCCUAUAGAGUUUUAUAAUAAUGAUUUUUAGAUUUUUAAGAAUUAAUUGGUUUUUAAGUUGGUUAUUAUUUUGUUGGGGUGAUAGAAAAAUUUAAUUAACUUUUUUUUCCUUUUACACUAAUUAGUGAUUUGUUGAUCCGUUAUUUACGAUUAUAAGAUUAAAUUACCUUAGGGAUAACAGCGUAAUCUUUUUGGAGAGUUCUAAUCGAUAAAAAGGUUUGCGACCUCGAUGUUGGAUUAAAA
rnacentral:rRNA from 1 species